rnacentral:rRNA from 1 species
UGCAGUGGAGCGACGAACCAGGGCUUGCCCUGGGGCAAAGCCGCGAACGGGUGAGUAACACGUGGGUAACCUGCCCUGUUGAUUGGGACAACCCCGGGAAACCGGGGCUAAUACCAAAUGUGCUCUUUCCACAUCAGUGGAUCGAGGAAAGGAGGCUUCGGCUUCCGCAACGGGAUGGGCCCGCGGCCCAUUAGCUUGUUGGUGGGGUAACGGCCUACCAAGGCUCCGAUGGGUAGCUGGUCUGAGAGGACGAUCAGCCACACUGGGACUGAGACACGGCCCAGACUCCUACGGGAGGCAGCAGUGGGGAAUCUUGCGCAAUGCGCGAAAGCGUGACGCAGCAACGCAGCGUGAGGGAAGAAGGUCUUCGGGUUGUAAACCUCUUUCAGUUGGGACGAAGGUUCGGCGGUUAAUACCCGUCUGGACUGACGGUACCUACAGAAGAAGCCCCGGCUAACUACGUGCCAGCAGCCGCGGUAAUACGUAGGGGGCAAGCGUUGACCGGAAUCAUUGGGCGUAAAGCGCGUGUAGGCGGCCCAGUAAGUCCGCUCUGAAAGCCCGGGGCUUAACCCCGGGAGGCGGGUGGAUACUGCUGGGCUCGAGUCCGGAAGAGGCGAGUGGAAUUCCCGGUGUAGCGGUGAAAUGCGCAGAUAUCG